AAGGGGGAUGAUAUGACGAUAGAUCAUGAGGAAAACCAGGUAAUAAAGACGACAUGUUUGGAAAUCACACGUCUCCUUGGUGAGAGCCUGGUCAUCUAUUUAUACUCCGUUAUACAAAGGUCAGACGGUGAUUCUCGCUAGACAAGAGGAAGAGGAGAUGAAAAGGAUGUGUUAAAAACUUGGACGUGGUUGUUUUCAUCAGAAUCUUCGGAUCCAAAUGUUUGCACGUUGAUCCCAUCUGCCAUCGCAGGCCGGCAUUCUGUGGUGCAAAUUCCGCACCACAGAAGAUCAGCACCCGAUGUCUUGCACACGGGUUCGGCUUGUAUCUUUCCCUACAGCUAUCAUCGGCUUGUAUUUUUCAUAAAGUUGAUAAGUUCAAACUAUAGCAUACACAGUUAGAUUUGAC
rnacentral:lncRNA from 1 species